GUGAGGAAUAUUGCGCAAUGGAGGCAACUCUGACGCAGCCAUGCCGCGUGCAGGAAGAAGGCGCUACGCGUUGUAAACUGCUUUUAACCGGGAAGAAACCCCAGGACGUGUCCUGGGUUGACGGUACCGGAGGAAUAAGCACCGGCUAACUUCGUGCCAGCAGCCGCGGUAAUACGAAGGGUGCAAGCGUUAUCCGGAUUCAUUGGGUUUAAAGGGUGCGUAGGCGGAGUGUUAAGUCAGUGGUGAAAUCCUGAAGCUUAACAGUAGACUUGCCAUUGAUACUGGCGCUCUUGAGUGCGCUUGAAGUGGGCGGAAUGUGCCGUGUAGCGGUGAAAUGCUUAGAUAUGGCACAGAACACCAAUUGCGAAGGCAGCUCACUAAGGCGAUACUGACGCUGAGGCACGAAAGCGUGGGGAUCGAACAGGAUUAGAAACCCGGGUAGUCC
rnacentral:rRNA from 1 species